CUGUCCUUUUACUUUGUGUACAUAUGUGAGCGAGUUAUGCCCGAGUAUGAUCCACUCAACUUUUCCUAUAAAAGAGAAGUUAAUAUAAGUUUAAGGAUCUAAUGUUCUCUGUAUGUAAUGUUAAUCAGCUUUUUUUGAGGAGUGUUUUUAAGUCAGUGUUUUAGUUCUCAAAUUGAAGGUGUAGGCUCAUAUUGAUUUAAAUUUUUCUAUUAGCUUGCUUACAGAGAUGUCUCGACUGAAUUGUCGAUUAUAGUGUUUCCAUUAGAAAUUUGGCUCACCAGUCGCCACUGACCAAUCAGGAUCAAGUAUUAGGCUACAUUCAGGAUAGGGCUCUUUGUCUUUGCCAAGUGGCACGCGUCGGGGGCUGGUUACCGCAGGAACAUGCUGGCACUCUGCCAUUCCCAAGCCACCGCCAACUUCCCAGCGGCAUACGGCGACGCAGAGAUCCUGGCACUCUGCCGAAGGUUGGUGCGUGCCAACGAGAAUAACAAGACAAGUUGCAUAUCUCCAUUAUUACAAAGCAGAUGCCGUCGUACCCGCGUCGAGUGGCAUCGACACCAGGGCAUGUGCUGCUUACUCUCUAGGGGAUGUGCCUACUUGGAGCCUGGCACGGUCACGAAGGAGACGGCGAACACAGGAUGGCGAAGCCUGCAGGAACCGAAAUUACGAGGUCUUGGCAAAGACAUCUGCGCUUUUCUAAAACAACAAGAGGAUAAAAGCAACUUCCUGUCAGUGUACACUUGUUCCCUAUGCCAUUUGCAAUGCCCUUCGGACUGAGUGGAUGCACUUCCUGCGAUUUAAAAAGAUGACCAGAUAUGAGAAGUUUGCUUUAGUAAGUCGCUGCUGGGGGAACAGAACAUAUCAAAUUCUAUGUAAGUUUACUCAUAAUGCCACACAUGCAUACUAUCAUCUUUGUUGCAUAUACAGUACAUACAACUUGCAUUAAAAACUGGGGGGUGGGGUGCUUUAAAUAUGGCUAUCGAAUGAAUGCAAAUUGCAUUGCAGUCAGAUCAUCCACAUAAACACACACACACACACACUCUCUCUCUAUGCACACACGUUUAAGUGAGUAACAGUAAUGGGAGGCCGUGUGGCCGCAUUGGAAUAUAAAUCACAUUUCCCAUCAGCCUCUGCUCUGACCUCUGACCUCCACUCUGAUAUGGUGUUCAAGAAAAUGUAUAUGUGUGAGUGCGUGUGUGUGAGUAUCUCUUGGUCGAUAGCUACAGGAUCUCUGCUCUUCUACACUACAUUAUUCUCACAUCUGUCCAUUAGCAGGGCCGCAGAGAGUAAAUCUCCUCACCUACACACACACACACACAGAGAGAGAGAGGUGUGAUAUUACUGUAAGAUCACCGUGGAAUAAAACUUACCAUGCAUGUCA
ensembl:lncRNA